UGCAUUGAAAUUCAUAUUUUUCUUGUAUUUUAAAUCUGUUCGUUUUAAUUUUAUGGUAUAUAUAUAAAGUAAUUAUACAAAUUCUUUUGGUAUAAUAUAUAUUUGUUCAUUUGAAAUGCGGAUUUGAACUAGGCAGGUUUCUGGUUAAAAUAUCUAAUUUAAAUUUAUAUUAAAAUGCGCAGACGGCAUUCACGGUGGAGAACGACUAUAUGACAAAUUAAAGAGUUGAAAUAAAGAUUGAAAUAAUUGAUGAGGGCGGAUAUUUUUGGUUGUGUAUAAUUGUACGUAUUAAUCAUUCUCAAACUUUAACGAAUUUUGCGCUACCUAGAAAUUAUGAAAAAUUGGGUUUAAAAAACAGUGAACAUCACUGUUGAAACAUACGAUACACGUGGAUCAAAACAAAAGAAAGAUUUCGACGGUCGUGAUGAUAAUCAUGUCAAAAGUUUUUAAGUUGUAUAUUAUUGCUUAAUAAGGAGUAAAAAGAGAAGAUGAUGAAUAUGCAUAAACAGAACACAAACAGAAACACACACGAGAUCAUUUUGAUAGUGUAUAAAUGAAGAAAAAAUAUCUAUAGAAUAAAUUAAAGAGUAUUAAUUUUACAUAUGUAGGGUUCAUAUGCUAAUGUUAUUACCUUUGGAUUUAAGAACAAAGAGGGCACCAGCAUCAAGUUCUUUUUGAGCUUCAUCUUGAUGGCGAAUCUUUGCAAUAUCUUUUCCUCCAUCAACUGCUACUGAACUUGGACUCACUGUGCUCAUCUCUCUACCUCUAUUUUAUUUCUUCUCUCUCCGUCUCUCUCUCUCUCUCUCUCUUUUUUUUUUUUUUUUUGAAAAGCUCUCUCUCUCUCUUUAAAUAGAAACAUCAAACAAGAAAAAUAAAAGAUGGAUUUGAAUUGCUAUUUAAUAACUAGUUGUCCAAUUUAGUGCCCAUUCUUUUGAUGACGGUGAUGUCCAUUCUUUUGACUCUUUUCAGAGAAAUCAUUAUUAGGGAAAGUAGACCAUAAUGCCCCUAACCAUUUUUCAUUGGUUUCUGGUCUUUUCAUUAAUUCUUACACAUCGACGACAUGCAUCUUUAAGCUCAAAUGAUAGAACAAAAUUGUCUCUUCCAACAGCUGUUACAAGCAGCUAAAGAUUUUAUGAUCAUACGUAUUAAUAAUGGUAUACAAGUAAAAUUUAAUUAUUUUUAUAUUUAAUUCAAUAACUAUUAUUUACUAUUGUUGAAAGGAAAAAUGUAAACAUUUGAGCGCUUAUAAGACCAUGAAAACAUGUUGUCUCAGUAAAAAACUUAAUAAAUCAAUUAAAUACAGCUACAUAAAAACAUAAGAGCACGUGCAUUAUACCAUAAAAGCACGUGAGCAUGAGAGCAUGAAACUAUAAAAGCAUGCUAGCUCAGUAGGAAACUGAAAAAGUCAAUUAAGCAUAACUACAUAAAAGUAUGAGAGAAUAUGAACAUGAGACUAUGAAAGCAUGGUAGCUAAGCUUAAAAAGUCAACAAAGCACAAUUACAUAAUAGCAUGUGCAUGAGAUUAUGAGAGCACGCGGGAAUGAGAGCAUGUGAGCUUGAAAACACAAGAGCAUGGAGUCAAAUAAGCAGGACUACUGGAUAACAUGAUUACAAAAAAAAAACAUAGCUAAGCAUGAUAGAACUUAAUUAGUGAAAAUAAAUAUAAAUACAAGAGAGUGCAAUUGUAAAAGAGCACAAUUGUGGGAGAUUGGUUUAAUUAAAAAAAAAAGCCCAGAUAGUAAAUCCAAUAGCUAGGGUCCAGUAAUUGGACGUGUUAUCUGAGCCUUGAAGAAGAAUUUAGAAGCUCAUAAAGCAAAAGCAUGUUUAAGAAAAAAUAUUCAAUAGUGAAAAUCAAUCUUUCCAUACUUAUGGAUGGAGGCCCAGUGUCAAAUCAUAUAAAUUUUCUGCCUCUCAUUUUUUAUAUCAUUUCAUUAUUUAAUUUUUUAGUUGACCAAAAAUCAGUGUCAACAACUAUCUUAUAAUAUACUAAAAAAAAAUUCAAAUGAUGAGAAGAUUGUAUUCACAUUUUCAAAUAAUCACUAACAAUUAUACUAUUUUAAUGAAAUUAUCCCACAAAAUUAUAAGAUGAUACUGAGCAACAAUAUGAUAUUUUUAUAAUAUCAAAUCAACUUUUUUUCUAAUAUAAAAGUAAACAUUUUCAAUACUUUAAGAUAGCGUUUACUUUUUAGAUUGGAGUGAGAAUCACGAGGAGUGAAAAUACUAGGAUUGAGAGUGCAGAGUGGGAGUGGGAGUAGGUUGUUU
rnacentral:lncRNA from 1 species